rnacentral:rRNA from 1 species
GGUUGAUCCUGCCAGUAGUCAUAUGCUUGUCUCAAAGAUUAAGCCAUGCAUGUCUAAGUAUAAACAACUUUAUACUGUAAAACUGCGAACGGCUCAUUAUAUCAGCAAUAAUUUAUUUGAUGGUUUCUUACUACAUGGAUAACUGUAGUAAUUCUAGAGCUAAUACAUGCGUAAAGUUCCGACUCUCACGGGAAGGGAUGUAUUUAUUAGAUAAAAAACCAAUGCGGGUUCUGCUCGCUUUUGUGUUGAAUCAUAGUAAUUAUCGGACGCCAU